GAUGAACGCUGGCGGCGUGCUUAACACAUGCAAGUCGAACGGAAAGGCCCAAGCUUGCUUGGGUACUCGAGUGGCGAACGGGUGAGUAACACGUGGGUGAUCUGCCCUGCACUUCGGGAUAAGCCUGGGAAACUGGGUCUAUUACCGGAUAGGACCACUUCUUGGAUGUUGUGGUGGAAAGUUUUUUUGGUGUGGGAUGAGCUCGCGGCCUAUCAGCUUGUUGGUGGGGUAAUGGCCUACCAAGGCGUCGACGGGUAGCCGGCCUGAGAGGGUGUACGGCCACAUUGGGACUGAGAUACGGCCCAGACUCCUACGGGAGGCAGCAGUGGGGAAUAUUGCACAAUGGGCGCAAGCCUGAUGCAGCGACGCCGCGUGGGUGAUGACGGCCUUCGGGUUGUAAACUCCUUUCGCUAGGGACGAAGCGUUUUGUGACGGUACCUGGAGAAGAAGCACCGGCUAACUACGUG
rnacentral:rRNA from 1 species